rnacentral:rRNA from 1 species
UGAACGCUAGCUACAGGCUUAACACAUGCAAGUCGAGGGGCAGCAUGGUCUUAGCUUGCUAAGGCCGAUGGCGACCGGCGCACGGGUGAGUAACACGUAUCCAACCUGCCGUCUACUCUUGGACAGCCUUCUGAAAAGGAAGAUUAAUACAAGAUGGCAUCAUGAGUCCGCAUGUUCACAUGAUUAAAGGUAUUCCGGUAGACGAUGGGGAUGCGUUCCAUUAGAUAGUAGGCGGGGUAACGGCCCACCUAGUCUUCGAUGGAUAGGGGGUUCUGAGAGGAAGGUCCCCCCACAUUGGAACUGAGACACGGUCCAAACUCCUACGGGAGGCAGCAGUGAGGAAUAUUGGUCAAUGGGCGAGAGCCUGAACCAGCCAAGUAGCGUGAAGGAUGACUGCCCUAUGGGUUGUAAACUUCUUUUAUAAAGGAAUAAAGUCGGGUAUGGAUACCCGUUUGCAUGUACUUUAUGAAUAAGGAUCGGCUAACUCCGUG